rnacentral:rRNA from 1 species
CCUACGGGAGGCAGCAGUGAGGAAUAUUGGUCAAUGGGCGGGAGCCUGAACCAGCCAAGUCGCGUGAGGGAAGACGGUCCUAUGGAUUGUAAACCUCUUUAGGCGGGGAGCAAUGCCGGGCACGUGUGCCCGGAGGGAGAGUACCCGCAGAAUAAGCAUCGGCUAACUCCGUGCCAGCAGCCGCGGUAAUACGGAGGAUGCGAGCGUUAUCCGGAUUUAUUGGGUUUAAAGGGUGCGUAGGCGGAUUUUUAAGUCAGCGGUAAAAGGUCGGGGCUCAACCCGGGCCGGCCGUUGAAACUGGGGAUCUUGAGUGGUCGAGAAGGAGGCGGAAUGCGAGGUGUAGCGGUGAAAUGCAUAGAUAUCACGCAGAAUACCGAUGGCGAAGGCAGCAGACCGGCGCCCGACUGACGCUGAGGCACGAAAGCGUGGGGAUUGAACAGGAUUAGAUACCCUGGUAGUC